AUUUUAAACUGACUGAGCGGCGGACGGGUGAGUAACGCGUGGAUAACCUGCCUCACACAGGGGGAUAACAGUUAGAAAUGACUGCUAAUACCGCAUAAGCGCACGGCAUCGCAUGAUGCAGUGUGAAAAACUCCGGUGGUGUGAGAUGGAUCCGCGUCUGAUUAGGUAGUUGGUGGGGUAACGGCCCACCAAGCCGACGAUCAGUAGCCGACCUGAGAGGGUGACCGGCCACAUUGGGACUGAGACACGGCCCAAACUCCUACGGGAGGCAGCAGUGGGGAAUAUUGCACAAUGGGCGAAAGCCUGAUGCAGCGACGCCGCGUGAGUGAAGAAGUAUCUCGGUAUGUAAAGCUCUAUCAGCAGGGAAGAAAAUGACGGUACCUGACUAAGAAGCCCCGGCUAACUACGUGCCAGCAGCCGCGGUAAUACGUAGGGGGCAAGCGUUAUCCGGAUUUACUGGGUGUAAAGGGAGCGCAGACGGCGAUGCAAGUCUGGAGUGA
rnacentral:rRNA from 1 species